UGCAGCUGCUCCUAUCCAGGAACGUUG
rnacentral:piRNA from 1 species